GAUGAACGCUGGCGGCGUGCCUAAUACAUGCAAGUCGAGCGAAUGGAUUGAGAGCUUGCUCUUAUGAAGUUAGCGGCGGACGGGUGAGUAACACGUGGGUAACCUGCCCAUAAGACUGGGAUAACUCCGGGAAACCGGGGCUAAUACCGGAUAACAUUUUGAACCGCAUGGUUCGAAAUUGAAAGGCGGCCUCGGCUGUCACUUAUGGAUGGACCCGCGUCGCAUUAGCUAGUUGGUGAGGUAACGGCUCACCAAGGCAACGAUGCGUAUCCGACCUGGGAGGGUGAUCGGCCACACUGGGACUGAAACACGGCCCAGACUCCUACGGGAGGCAGCAGUAGGGAAUCUUCCGCAAUGGACGAAAGUCUGACGGAGCAACGCCGCGUGAGUGAUGAAGGCUUUCGGGUCGUAAAACUCUGUUGUUAGGGAAGAACAAGUGCUAGUUGAAUAAGCUGGCACCUUGACGGUACCUAACCAGAAAGCCACGGCUAACUACGUGCCAGCAGCCGCCGUAAAAC
rnacentral:rRNA from 1 species